rnacentral:lncRNA from 1 species
GGCACCACAGCUUAACGAAGCGUCAAAAGAAUGGCUAUGACAAAAAGAGGCCCAGCUACGAUGGAGCAGCCGGGUUUGGCAGGGUCUCGGUUCCAGAAGCUCCAUGGAAAAUCAGAUUGCGAUAGGAAGUGGAGCGAAGUGGCUAGUACGCUGAAUUGCCUUGGUGGUGCUGUGAAAAGCGUCGAACAAUGGCGCACGGUAUGAAGGGAUCUGAAAGCCGUACAAGCAUCAAUGCCCGAGACUGGAAAAGAAAGCGGGUAAUGACAGGAAACAAUCUCAUUGAUGAGGAGCCACGCACCGAAUCGGAGAGACGAGGCAUUGCCCUUGAAGUUAAUGGCUAUGUCCAGGGCCACGAAAACGUUCCUGAAACUGUGCCUAUAGGGAAUUGCAACUUAGAUGCCUUCGUUUUUAAAUGGAGUCGAUUUGGAAAUGCAUGCAUCGGCUCUUGCGACUCAAACCUCAAAAACUUCCCGUCGAGGCAGUAAAAAAAGUCGCGUGGAAGAUGGGAGUGUUCCGCGAAUGCAUUUUUAGAAAUUGCGCAAACACAGAUGUUAGCAGAGUCGAGUGCAGCAUCCACUCAAAUUACAAGCAGGCAAUCUGAGUCUUGCAGGUAAUUUUUUUAAAUGCUAAAGAAUUUUUUAUUAGUUGUUAGCUGAAAGCAACGCGGCGACCACGCAAGCAUUGGCAAAUGCUAUGACCACAAAGGGUGAAGGAGUGUAAGCUUGUGCAACUGCCGGCGUAAUUAGUUGUAUGUAAAUAUUUAUAUUAUGGCGUUAAAGUUAUUUUUUACUCCAUUAUAAAGUAUAUUUUUACGCGUGUAACCCUGAGCAGCAGCCACAGCCUCUACCUAGAGAUGUCACUGCUGUCUUCUGUCUUCUGUUCUCGACUAAGUGACUCUUCAAAUAUAUGGGAAGAAUCCAGUUG